rnacentral:rRNA from 1 species
GUGCCAGCCGCCGCGGUAAUACAGAGGUCCCAAGCGUUGUUCGGAUUCACUGGGCGUAAAGGGUGCGUAGGUGGUGAGGUAAGUCGGAUGUGAAAGCUCCGAGCUCAACUCGGAAAUGGCAUUGGAAACUACCUUGCUCGAGGGUUUGAGGGGGGACUGGAAUACUUGGUGUAGCAGUGAAAUGCGUAGAUAUCAAGUAGAACACCAGUGGCGAAGGCGAGUCCCUGGAAAACUCCUGACACUGAGGCACGAAAGCUAGGGGAGCAAACAGGAUUAGAUACCCCCGUAGUCC